UACAGCCACAUCACGUGUGAGACACUGGAUCCUGUACGAACACCGAAAUUAAGCAACGUCUAGUCUUGUCAGUACUUCGAUGGGUCACCGCUUGGGAAUACCGGGUGCUAUAA